rnacentral:rRNA from 1 species
UACGUAUGGAGCAAGCGUUAUCCGGAUUUACUGGGUGUAAAGGGAGCGCAGGCGGCUUUGCAAGUCUGAUGUGAAAGGCCGGGGCUCAACCCCGGGACUGCAUUGGAAACUGUAAAGCUAGAGUGCCGGAGAGGUAAGCGGAAUUCCUAGUGUAGCGGCGAAAUGCGUAGAUAUUAGGAGGAACACCAGUGGCGAAGGCGGCUUACUGGACGGCAACUGACGCUGAGGCUCGAAAGCGUGGGGAGCAAACAGG